AUUGAACGCUGGCGGCAGGCCUAACACAUGCAAGUCGAGCGAGCGGCGGACGGGUGUGUAAUGUCUGUGAAAUUGCUUUAUGGAGGGGGAUAACUACUGGAAACGGUAGCUAAUACCGCUAACCUUCAGUUUUGCCCUGAUUGGACUAGCUAGUAGGUGGGGUAACGGCUCACCUAGGCCACGAUCCGUAGCUGGUCUGAGAGGUUGACCGGCCACACUGGAACUGAGACACGGUCCAGACUCCUACGGGAGGCAGCAGUGGGGAAUAUUGCACAAUGGGCGAAAGCCUGAUGCAGCAAUGCCGCGUGGAUGAAGAAGGCCUUCGGGUUGUAAAGUACUUUCAGCGGGGAGGCGGUACCCACACAGGAAGCACCGGCUAACUCCGUGCCAGCAGCCGCGGUAAUAC
rnacentral:rRNA from 1 species